rnacentral:rRNA from 1 species
UACGUAGGGGGCGAGCGUUGUCCGGAAUGACUGGGCGUAAAGGGCGCGUAGGCGGAUUUAUAAGUUAGGAGUGAAAUUACAUUUUUCAAGGAUGGAACUGCUUUUAAUACUGUAGGGCUAGAGUGCAGAAGAGGUAAGCGGAAUUCCCAGUGUAGCGGUGAAAUGCGUAGGGAUUGGGAAGAACACCAGUGGCGAAGGCGGCUUACUGGGCUGUAACUGACGCUGAGGCGCGAAAGCGUGGGGAGCGAAC